rnacentral:rRNA from 1 species
GACGAACGCUGGCGACGUGCUUAACACAUGCAAGUCGAACGGAAAGGCCCUGCUUUUGUGGGGUGCUCGAGUGGCGAACGGGUGAGUAACACGUGAGUAACCUGCCCUUGACUUUGGGAUAACUUCAGGAAACUGGGGCUAAUACCGGAUAGGAGCUCCUGCUGCAUGGUGGGGGUUGGAAAGUUUCGGCGGUUGGGGAUGGACUCGCGGCUUAUCAGCUUGUUGGUGGGGUAGUGGCUUACCAAGGCUUUGACGGGUAGCCGGCCUGAGAGGGUGACCGGCGACAUUGGGACUGAGAUACGGACCAGACUCCUACGGGAGGCAGCAGUGGGAAAUAUUGCACAAUGGGCGGAAGCCUGAUGCAGCAACGCCGCGUGCGGGAUGACGGCCUUCGGGUUGUAAACCGCUUUCGCCUGUGACGAAGCGUGAGUGACGGUAAUGGGUAAAGAAGCACCGGCUAACUACGUG